UGUUUGUUCACAGUGCAGGAGGUUUUUGUACGGCCACUCAAUGAGUUUGUAUCACUGUGGUGGACUUUUGGUGGAGGAACCAAACUCAUCAUUCACUCUGGCCCCAUGGUCAGGCCCUCAGUCUCUCUGCUCCCUCCCUCCUCUGAGCAGCUCUCCGGAGGCUCGGCCACGCUGGCCUGCCUGCUGAGCGGCUACUCUCCUCAGGGAGCCGUGGUGAGCUGGGAGGUGGACGGGACGGAGGUGACAGAGGGGGUCCUGAGCAGCUCCGAGGAGGAGAAGAGCGGACGCUACAGCAGCAGCAGCACCCUGAGCCUGAGCCAGGAGCGCUGGAUGAAAGGAGAGCAGUACUCCUGCCAUGUCCUCCAUCAUGACCACAGGCAGAGCCGCUCCCUCCACAGGAGCCAGUGUCAGGACUAGAGGGAGCAGCUGAAGCCCAGGACAGGAGCUCUGUGUGGGGGGAGCAGGAGGAGCACAGCUGCUGCUCUCAUCACUGUCACUUGGAAUGUUUGUAGAGGAAACUCAAGCUUUGUGUGACAGACACCAACACUGCUGUAAAGUGUUGGACAGCAGGAAUUUAGAGAAUAAAGUGUGCAGCUCAACAGCUUUAUGUGACUUUGCUUCAUAACGGUCAUGUUGAUGU